rnacentral:rRNA from 1 species
AGUGAACGCUGGCGGUAGGCCUAACACAUGCAAGUCGAACGGCAGCACAGUAAGAGCUUGCUCUUACGGGUGGCGAGUGGCGGACGGGUGAGGUAUACAUCGGAAUCUACUUUUUCGUGGGGGAUAACGUAGGGAAACUUACGCUAAUACCGCAUACGACCUACGGGUGAAAGCAGGGGAUCUUCGGACCUUGCGCGAUUGAAUGAGCCGAUGUCGGAUUAGCUAGUUGGCGGGGUAAAGGCCCACCAAGGCGACGAUCCGUAGCUGGUCUGAGAGGAUGAUCAGCCACACUGGAACUGAGACACGGUCCAGACUCCUACGGGAGGCAGCAGUGUGGAAUAUGGGACAAUGGGCGCAAGCCUGAUCCAGCCAGACCGCGUGGGUGAAGAAGGCCUUCGGGUUGUAAAGCCCUUUUGUUGGGAAAGAAAAGCAGCAGGUUAAUACCCCGCUGUUCUGACGGUACCCAAAGAAUAAGCACCGGCUAACUUCGUG